rnacentral:rRNA from 1 species
UCGUCACACUAUCAUUAACUGAAUCCAUAGGUUAAUGAGGCGAACCGGGGGAACUGAAACAUCUAAGUACCCCGAGGAAAAGAAAUCAACCGAGAUUCCCCCAGUAGCGGCGAGCGAACGGGGAGGAGCCCAGAGCCUGAAUCAGCAUGUGUGUUAGUGGAAGCGUCUGGAAAGGCGCGCGAUACAGGGUGACAGCCCCGUACACAAAAGCGCAUGUGCUGUGAGCUCGAUGAGUAGGGCGGGACACGUGGUAUCCUGUCUGAAUAUGGGGGGACCAUCCUCCAAGGCUAAAUACUCCUGACUGACCGAUAGUGAACCAGUACCGUGAGGGAAAGGCGAAAAGAACCCCGGCGAGGGGAGUGAAAAAGAACCUGAAACCGUGUACGUACAAGCAGUGGGAGCACCCUUUUGGGUGUGACUGCGUACCUUUUGUAUAAUGGGUCAGCGACUUAUAUUCUGUAGCAAGGUUAACCGAAUAGGGGAGCCGUAGGGAAACCGAGUCUUAACCGGGCGUUAAGUUGCAGGGUAUAGACCCGAAACCCGGUGAUCUAGCCAUGGGCAGGUUGAAGGUUGGGUAACACUAACUGGAGGACCGAACCGACUAAUGUUGAAAAAUUAGCGGAUGACCUGUGGCUGGGGGUGAAAGGCCAAUCAAACCGGGAGAUAGCUGGUUCUCCCCGAAAGCUAUUUAGGUAGCGCCUCGUGAAUUCAUCUCCGGGGGUAGAGCACUGUUUCGGCUAGGGGGCCAUCCCGGCUUACCAACCCGAUGCAAACUGCGAAUACCGGAGAAUGUUAUCACGGGAGACACACGGCGGGUGCUAACGUCCGUCGUGAAGAGGGAAACAACCCAGACCGCCAGCUAAGGUCCCAAAGUCAUGGUUAAGUGGGAAACGAUGUGGGAAGGCCCAGACAGCCAGGAUGUUGGCUUAGAAGCAGCCAUCAUUUAAAGAAAGCGUAAUAGCUCACUGGUCGAGUCGGCCUGCGCGGAAGAUGUAACGGGGCUAAACCAUGCACCGAAGCUGCGGCAGCGACACUGUGUGUUGUUGGGUAGGGGAGCGUUCUGUAAGCCUGUGAAGGUGGCCUGUGAGGGUUGCUGGAGGUAUCAGAAGUGCGAAUGCUGACAUAAGUAACGAUAAAGCGGGUGAAAAGCCCGCUCGCCGGAAGACCAAGGGUUCCUGUCCAACGUUAAUCGGGGCAGGGUGAGUCGACCCCUAAGGCGAGGCCGAAAGGCGUAGUCGAUGGGAAACAGGUUAAUAUUCCUGUACUUGGUGUUACUGCGAAGGGGGGACGGAGAAGGCUAUGUUGGCCGGGCGACGGUUGUCCCGGUUUAAGCGUGUAGGCUGGUUUUCCAGGCAAAUCCGGAAAAUCAAGGCUGAGGCGUGACGACGAGGCACUACGGUGCUGAAGCAACAAAUGCCCUGCUUCCAGGAAAAGCCUCUAAGCAUCAGGUAACAUCAAAUCGUACCCCAAACCGACACAGGUGGUCAGGUAGAGAAUACCAAGGCGCUUGAGAGAACUCGGGUGAAGGAACUAGGCAAAAUGGUGCCGUAACUUCGGGAGAAGGCACGCUGACACGUAGGUGAAGUGAUUUACUCAUGGAGCUGAAGUCAGUCGAAGAUACCAGCUGGCUGCAACUGUUUAUUAAAAACACAGCACUGUGCAAACACGAAAGUGGACGUAUACGGUGUGACGCCUGCCCGGUGCCGGAAGGUUAAUUGAUGGGGUCAGCGCAAGCGAAGCUCCUGAUCGAAGCCCCGGUAAACGGCGGCCGUAACUAUAACGGUCCUAAGGUAGCGAAAUUCCUUGUCGGGUAAGUUCCGACCUGCACGAAUGGCGUAAUGAUGGCCAGGCUGUCUCCACCCGAGACUCAGUGAAAUUGAACUCGCUGUGAAGAUGCAGUGUACCCGCGGCAAGACGGAAAGACCCCGUGAACCUUUACUAUAGCUUGACACUGAACAUUGAGCCUUGAUGUGUAGGAUAGGUGGGAGGCUUUGAAGCGUGGACGCCAGUCUGCGUGGAGCCGACCUUGAAAUACCACCCUUUAAUGUUUGAUGUUCUAACGUGGACCCGUUACCCGGGUUGCGGACAGUGUCUGGUGGGUAGUUUGACUGGGGCGGUCUCCUCCUAAAGAGUAACGGAGGAGCACGAAGGUUGGCUAAUCCUGGUCGGACAUCAGGAGGUUAGUGCAAUGGCAUAAGCCAGCUUGACUGCGAGCGUGACGGCGCGAGCAGGUGCGAAAGCAGGUCAUAGUGAUCCGGUGGUUCUGAAUGGAAGGGCCAUCGCUCAACGGAUAAAAGGUACUCCGGGGAUAACAGGCUGAUACCGCCCAAGAGUUCAUAUCGACGGCGGUGUUUGGCACCUCGAUGUCGGCUCAUCACAUCCUGGGGCUGAAGUAGGUCCCAAGGGUAUGGCUGUUCGCCAUUUAAAGUGGUACGCGAGCUGGGUUUAGAACGUCGUGAGACAGUUCGGUCCCUAUCUGCCGUGGGCGCUGGAGAACUGAGGGGGGCUGCUCCUAGUACGAGAGGACCGGAGUGGACGCAUCACUGGUGUUCGGGUUGUCAUGCCAAUGGCACUGCCCGGUAGCUAAAUGCGGAAGAGAUAAGUGCUGAAAGCAUCUAAGCACGAAACUUGCCCCGA